UUGGAAACCCUAGUUCUAGUUCAGUCGUCACCUUUUAGACUUCGACUUCCAAACUCCACUGCUGAAACUUAUUAGCACUUUUUCUCGCUAACAGCUUAGAGCACUCUUUCAUUUAGCAUUUGAGAGCCCUUUUGUUAUUGAUCAGGCGAACAUUUCUCUAAGACUUGAUCAUUCGUCUGAUCCUUCCUCCUUUGCAGCUUGCUGAGGAACAACUGCUUUCCAUGGAGUCAGAAGGCGAAUCCGGGUCCAUGAAGGCUCUGGGUGGUGGUCAAGUUUGCCAGAUCUGCAGUGAUAGUGUCGGCACAGCUGUAGACGGUGAGCCCUUUGUUCCAGCUCGGUGACUCAGAGUCUCAGACGACAGACAGUCUUCAUCUUCGAGCUCCUCUUCAUGGGAUUCCUCUUCAUCUUCACUCUUCUCUGUUCAGGUAGCUCUUCUCCUUCGAGAGGCGGCGUCCAGACUAGUUGCCUCGAUCUCAUCCGCUGUUCAUCAAUCAACCGUAUACAAUACACACGGUUUACUGCCCCCUUCGAUGAUAGAUGGUUGGAUUAAGGAUGCGUAUGCCCUGCGAGGGAUUCUUUUGUUGCAAAAAAGGGUGCUUCAUGUAAGAGUUUGGUGCAACAUUUUUUAUUCAUGAUGUAAGAGCUACUAUUUUGGAACUUAAUGCAGUAAUGCUUUUGACAUUA